GUAGGGAAUAUUGGGCAAUGGUCGGAAGACUGACCCAGCCAUGCCGCGUGCAGGAAGACGGCCCUCUGGGUUGUAAACUGCUUUUAUCUGGGAAGAAAAAGGCCAUGCGUGGCAAAUUGCCGGUACCAGAUGAAUAAGCACCGGCUAACUCCGUGCCAGCAGCCGCGGUAAUACGGAGGGUGCGAGCGUUGUCCGGAUUUAUUGGGUUUAAAGGGUGCGUAGGUGGCUGAUUAAGUCAGCGGUGAAAGACUUCGGCUUAACCGGAGCAGUGCCGUUGAUACUGGUUGGCUUGAGUGUCGGAGGGGUACAUGGAAUUGAUGGUGUAGCGGUGAAAUGCAUAGAUACCAUCAGGAACACCGAUAGCGAAGGCAUUGUACUGGCCGACAACUGACGCUGAUGCACGAAAGUGUGGGGAUCGAACAGGAUUAGAAACCCGGGUAGUCC
rnacentral:rRNA from 1 species